AUUCUCCACACACUCUUCCUUUCAGUCCAGAAGUUGUUACUAGUAACUCCUGCCAUUCCUAAUGACAUUUUUACCACUUUCUUUCUUGUAGAGAAGUGGGUAGAGAGAAUCACUUUGUGUCUUUACCCUGAACUUGACCAUGGCUUUAGGCAAACAGACUGUCUUGGCUUUCUAUGACCAACUUUUAAAUAGGAGCAGACAGAAACUUGGGUCAUAGUUCUGCAGUCACAAGGGCUUUGUAGUCAGUCUUAGCUGCUGGAACAUUCAAGGAGACAAAAAGGCACAGAAGAUCUCCACACAUACUUUGAUGCCAACUACAGCAAGUUGCAAGACCAUUUCUCUGCUGAAACUCCUUUAUUCUGAAGAUUCCAAGCAAGAAAGUAUUCAGCAGUGGCUGGACUCUGGAUUCUUUGUCUCUGCAAAUGAAAACUUUCAACAAGUCAUUGACCGCACUGUUUCUUUGUAUGAACAAGGGAUGGUUCAAAUGACUGUGAAAGACUACAUGAGAUCUUUGCAUCAGUUUUCAGAAACUCCCAUCCUAUCCAGAGGGACCAGUUUCAACUCUUGCUAUUCUACUGCAAGUGUACCACAAAGCAUUCCUGAAUGGCUGGAAUUUUGGGAGAUAGAUCCAGUGGAGAUUCUCUUGGAUCUGGGGUUUGGUGCUGAUGAGCCA
rnacentral:sRNA from 1 species